UACGUAGGGCGCGAGCGUUGUCCGGAAUUACUGGGCGUAAAGCGCGCGCAGGCGGCCCUUUAAGUCUGACGGUGAAAUGCCGGGGCUCAACCCCGUGCCCGCCGCGGAUACUGGAGGGCUGGAGACACGUAGAGGCAAGCGGAAUUCCGGGUGUAGCGGUGGAAUGCGUAGAGAUCCGGAAGAACACCGGAGGCGAAGGCGGCUUGCUGGGCGUAGUCUGACGCUGAGGCGCGAAAGCGUGGGGAGCGAACAGG
rnacentral:rRNA from 1 species